UACGUAGGGUGCAAGCGUUGUCCGGAAUUAUUGGGCGUAAAGAGCUCGUAGGCGGUUUGUCGCGUCUGCUGUGAAAACCCGAGGCUCAACCUCGGGCCUGCAGUGGGUACGGGCAGACUAGAGUGCGGUAGGGGAGAUUGGAAUUCCUGGUGUAGCGGUGAAAAUGCGCAGAUAUCAGGAGGAACACCGGUGGCGAAGGCGGGUCUCUGGGCCGUAACUGACGCUGAGGAGCGAAAGCAUGGGGAGCGAACAGG
rnacentral:rRNA from 1 species